AUUGAACGCUGGCGGCAGGCCUAACACAUGCAAGUCGAGCGGAUGAAGGGAGCUUGCUCCUGGAUUCAGCGGCGGACGGGUGAGUAAUGCCUAGGAAUCUGCCUGGUAGUGGGGGAUAACGUCCGGAAACGGGCGCUAAUACCGCAUACGUCCUGAGGGAGAAAGUGGGGGAUCUUCGGACCUCACGCUAUCAGAUGAGCCUUGGACGGAUUAGCUAGUUGGUGGGGUAAAGGCCUACCAAGGCGACGAUCCGUAACUGGUCUGAGAGGAUGAUCAGUCACACUGGAACUGAGACACGGUCCAGACUCCUACGGGAGGCAGCAGUGGGGAAUAUUGGACAAUGGGCGAAAGCCUGAUCCAGCCAUGCCGCGUGUGUGAAGAAGGUCUUCGGAUUGUAAAGCACUUUAAGUUGGGAGGAAGGGCAGUAAGUUAAUACCUUGCUGUUUUGACGUUACCAACAGAAUAAGCACCGGCUAACUUCGUG
rnacentral:rRNA from 1 species